rnacentral:rRNA from 1 species
UUAAUAAUUGUUCAUUAUAACAUUAAUUUAUAUGUUAAUUUUUGUGCAAUUAGAAUUUCUCAAAGAAAUUUUAAUGUUUAAUGAAUUAUAAUGCAGUAAAUGAUUUUAUUGAAAUUAAGUUAGCUUAGAUUUGGUAAAUGUUUAUAGUUUUGGUUAAAGUUGUGCCAGCAUCCGCGGUUAUACAGCAAAAUCAAAUGAACAUUUUUGGAUUUAAAGUAAUUAAUAUUUUAUUUAAUGGGAAAUUGGGAUUAUUUUAAGGUGAAAUAUUUUAAAUGUCUCGAGGUAUCAAUUUGCUUAAUGUAUGAUUGUUAUGAAAAUAGAAAUAUAAACUAGGAUUAGAUACCCUAUUAUUUUUAUUGUAAAAUUUUAAACCUGAGUAAUAGUAGUUAAGAUCUUGAAACUUAAAGAAUUUGGCGGUAUUAUAGUCUAUUUAGAGGAAUCUGUUAUGUAAUCGAUAGCCCACGUUGAACCUUACUUAUAUUAUUUCUUGUAUAUCGCUGUUUAAGAAUAUAUUUUUAGAUAAUUUUCUUAAUAUAGAAUUAAUUAGGAUUUCAGGUCAAGGUGCAGUAAUAUAUAAGUUGAAUAAUGGAUUACAAUAAAUUUUAUUUAUUAUGGAUAAUUAUUUAAAUAUAAUUUGAAGGUGGAUUUAAUUGUAAUUUUAUAAAGAUUGUUAAAAUGAUUAAUAGCUCUAUAAUAUGUACACAUCGCCCGUCACUCUCGUUAUUAAAAUGAGAUAAGUCGUAACAAAGUAGGUGUAUCGGAAGAUGUACCUAGAAAGAGAACAAUAUAUGUAAU